CGGGUGAGUAACGCGUGGGUAACCUACUCUGUACACACGGAUAACAUACCGAAAGGUAUGCUAAUACAGGAUAAUAUAUUUGAGAGGCAUCUCUUGAAUAUCAAAGGUGAGCCAGUACAGGAUGGACCCGCGUCUGAUUAGCUAGUUGGUAAGGUAACGGCUUACCAAGGCGACGAUCAGUAGCCGACCUGAGAGGGUGAUCGGCCACAUUGGAACUGAGACACGGUCCAA
rnacentral:rRNA from 1 species